GCAACCUGCCCAAAAGAGGGGGAUAACACUUGGAAACAGGUGCUAAUACCGCAUAACCAUAGUUACCGCAUGGUAACUAUGUAAAAGGUGGCUAUGCUACCGCUUUUGGAUGGCCCGCGACGCAUUAGCUAGUUGGUGGGGUAAAGGCUUACCAAGGCAAUGAUGCGUAGCCGAACUGAGAGGUUGAUCGGCCACAUUGGGACUGAGACACGGCCCAAACUCCUACGGGAGGCAGCAGUAGGGAAUCUUCCACAAUGGGCGAAAGCCUGAUGGAGCAACGCCGCGUGGGUGAAGAAGGUCUUCGGAUCGUAAAACCCUGUUGUUAGAGAAGAAAGUGCGUGAGAGUAACUGUUCACGUUUCGACGGUAUCUAACCAGAAAGCCACGGCUAACUACGUGCCAGCAGCCGCGGUAAUACGUAGGUGGCAAGCGUUAUCCGGAUUUAUUGGGCGUAAAGAGAACGCAGGCGGUCUUUUAAGUCUGAUGUGAAAGCCUUCGGCUUAACCGGAGUAGUGCAUUGGAAACUGGGAGACUUGAGUGCAGAAGAGGAGAGUGGAACUCCAUGUGUAGCGGUGAAAUGCGUAGAUAUAUGGAAGAACACCAGUGGCGAAAGCGGCUCUCUGGUCUGUAACUGACGCUGAGGUUCGAAAGCGUGGGUAGCAAACAGGAUUAGAUACCCUGGUAGUCCACGCCGUAAACGAUGAAUGCUAAGUGUU
rnacentral:rRNA from 1 species